rnacentral:lncRNA from 1 species
UCAUGUCAUCACAUUUCCCCUCCACUGGGGUCAGAUCUAUCAGCACUAUGCCCAGCAACAUUGAAGAAAGCCUGUUUUGCCAUAAUCUCAUCAAAAGCAAAUUUUUAAAAAAAUUUUAUAAAAUGUGUAUUUUCUUCUCAGUUGGAUAAGUUAAGAAUGGAAGCUCAGUAGAGUAAGAAAAAUCUCCUUCUGAAAAGGGGUGGGAAACUCUCACCUCCCAGUCCCAGGCCAGAGCCACCCUCCACUAAGGGGAUGUCAGGAAACUCACCUGAAGUCCUAAAUCAUCACCAUUGAAUGAGGGGUAGGAAACUUGCUCUCAAACAAGACUCCCUGAGACAAGACAGAAUUUGGCAGCCCAGAGGGAAGAACAGGAAUACUGAGAAAAUCCCACCCCUGAGGCUAAAGUACACAGAACCUAAGACAGAGGCAGGAAAUGAGUAAGAACAUCUCUUGCCCAUCAAAAGCCUUAUAGUGAAUAAUGAUGUCAGGAUUUUCUGAGGACAGAUCAGCUUCCCUGGAACAACACGGGUCUCCAAACAAGAAUCAGAAGCUGAUGGGAAUGGUGCACGUUUACUAGGGGGACAACCACAGAUGGCCAAUGCAGACUGAACUCUUAAGUGAGAUUCUUCAAGUGGAAGAAGAAAACAGGUUUGGCAUUUCCUUUUAAGGGAGGCAACUCCCUAAGUGGAGAGUCCUAUACUUAUUUGGUAGCUUGUAUUUUUACAGGUCCUUCACUAGAGGCCCAGUGAACGGUGAGGAUGAAGUGGGAAAGGGGAACAGGUGAAGGUAUUCAGGAUCUAACUUGACAGGUCUCCCUCGAACAUUUUCUGAAGCUUUGGUCCCCCAUGCCCUCUGGCUAUGCCACACAGAUGGCUGGGUCUUCUGCCAACACAGAAGAGAAACCUAUUGGCUUCAAUUGUUUAUUGGUUCAAAUAAUGAAAAUAAUUUCCCACAGAGACGGCAAGAACCUGACUCCCUUCACAUCAUGAAGCUGGAUGAGCCUCUCUCCUCUGAAUCUGAACACAUGGUAUCUUUUCCCUCAGAAAUCCCAGGCCAGGUGAUUCUUGCCCUCAGAGACAGGAGGCAAAGGGGCAGGGCACAGCUGCUGGAUAAAUGCAGAAAGGGAACAGCACUUAGAAUGCAAUAAAAACUG